UUGAACGCUGGCGGCAGGCCUAACACAUGCAAGUCGAGCGGAUGAAGGGAGCUUGCUCCUGGAUUCAGCGGCGGACGGGUGAGUAAUGCCUAGGAAUCUGCCUGGUAGUGGGGGAUAACGUCCGGAAACGGGCGCUAAUACCGCAUACGUCCUGAGGGAGAAAGUGGGGGAUCUUCGGACCUCACGCUAUCAGAUGAGCCUAGGUCGGAUUAGCUAGUUGGUGGGGUAAAGGCCUACCAAGGCGACGAUCCGUAACUGGUCUGAGAGGAUGAUCAGUCACACUGGAACUGAGACACGGUCCAGACUCCUACGGGAGGCAGCAGUGGAAUAUUGGACAAUGGGCGAAAGCCUGAUCCAGCCAUGCCGCGUGUGUGAAGAAGGUCUUCGGAUUGUAAAGCACUUUAAGUUGGGAGGAAGGGCAGUAAGUUAAUACCUUGCUGUUUUGACGUUACCAACAGAAUAAGCACCGGCUAACUUCGUG
rnacentral:rRNA from 1 species